CCUUGUCCUUAGUUGCUACGCAAGAGCACUCUAAGGAGACUGCCGGUGACAAACCGGAGGAAGGUGGGGAUGACGUCAAGUCCUCAUGGCCCUUAUGGGUAGGGCUUCACACGUCAUACAAUGGUCGGAACAGAGGGCUGCCAACCCGUGAGGGGGAGCUAAUCCCAGAAAACCGAUCGUAGUCCGGAUCGUAGUCUGCAACUCGACUACGUGAAGCUGGAAUCGCUAGUAAUCGCGGAUCAGCAUGCCGCGGUGAAUACGUUCCCGGGUCUUGCACACACCGCCCGU
rnacentral:rRNA from 1 species